GACGAACGCUGGCGGCGUGCUUAACACAUGCAAGUCGAACGGAAAGGCCCUGCCUUUGUGGGGUGCUCGAGUGGCGAACGGGUGAGUAACACGUGAGUAACCUGCCCUUGACUUUGGGAUAACUUCAGGAAACUGGGGCUAAUACCGGAUAGGAGCUCCUGCUGCAUGGUGGGGGUUGGAAAGUUUCGGCGGUUGGGGAUGGACUCGCGGCUUAUCAGCUUGUUGGUGGGGUAGUGGCUUACCAAGGCUUUGACGGGUAGCCGGCCUGAGAGGGUGACCGGCCACAUUGGGACUGAGAUACGGGCCAGACUCCUACGGGAGGCAGCAGUGGGGAAUAUUGCACAAUGGGCGGAAGCCUGAUGCAGCAACGCCGCGUGCGGGAUGACGGCCUUCGGGUUGUAAACCGCUUUCGCCUGUGACGAAGCGUGAGUGACGGUAAUGGGUAAAGAAGCACCGGCUAACUACGUG
rnacentral:rRNA from 1 species